AGGGAAUCUUCGGCAAUGGACGAAAGUCUGACCGAGCAACGCCGCGUGAGUGAAGAAGGUUUUCGGAUCGUAAAACUCUGUUGUUAGAGAAGAACAAGGAUGAGAAGAGAAUGUUCAUCCCUUGACGGUAUCUAACCAGAAAGCCACGGCUAACUACGUGCCAGCAGCCGCGGUAAUACGUAGGUGGCAAGCGUUGUCCGGAUUUAUUGGGCGUAAAGCGAGCGCAGGCGGUUCUUUAAGUCUGAUGUGAAAGCCCCCGGCUUAACCGGGGAGGGUCAUUGGAAACUGGGGAACUUGAGUGCAGAAGAGGAGAGUGGAAUUCCAUGUGUAGCGGUGAAAUGCGUAGAUAUAUGGAGGAACAUCAGUGGCGAAGGCGGCCACCUGGACCGGUAUUGACGCUGAGGUGCGAAAGCGUGGGGAGCAAAC
rnacentral:rRNA from 1 species